UACGUAGGUGGCAAGCGUUGUCCGGAUUUAUUGGGUUUAAAGGGUGCGUAGGCGGCUUUGUAAGUCAGUGGUGAAAUAUGGCAGCUCAACUGUCAGGGUGCCAUUGAUACUGCGGAGCUUGAGUACAGAUGAGGUAGGCGGAAUUGACGGUGUAGCGGUGAAAUGCUUAGAUAUCUGGAGGAAUACCGGUGGCGAAGGCGGCAUCCUGGACCAUUACUGACGCUGAGGCGCGAAAGCUAGGGGAGCAAACGGG
rnacentral:rRNA from 1 species